rnacentral:rRNA from 1 species
UACGUAGGGUGCAAGCGUUAAUCGGAAUUACUGGGCGUAAAGCGUGCGCAGGCGGUUUUGUAAGUCUGACGUGAAAUCCCCGGGCUCAACCUGGGAAUUGCGUUGGAGACUGCAAGGCUAGAAUCUGGCAGAGGGGGGGUAGAAUUCCACGUGUAGCAGUGAAAUGCGUAGAGAUGUGGAGGAACACCGAUGGCGAAGGCAGCCCCCUGGGUCAAGAUUGACGCUC